rnacentral:rRNA from 1 species
UACGGGGGGAGCAAGCGUUGUUCGGAUUUACUGGGCGUAAAGGGCGGGUAGGCGGCCACCGCAAGUCAGUUGUGAAAUCUCUGGGCUUAACCCAGAAAGGUCAACUGAUACUGCGGGGCUAGAGUGCAGAAGGGGCAACUGGAAUUCCAGGUGUAGCGGUGAAAUGCGUAGAUAUCUGGAGGAACACCGGUGGCGAAGGCGGCAUCCUGGACCGGCAUUGACGCUGAGGCGCGAAAGCCAGGGGAGCAAACGGG